AACGAACGCUGGCGGCAUGCCUAACACAUGCCAGUCGAACGAGACCUUCGGGUCUAGUGGCGCACGGGUGCGUAACGCGUGGGAACCUGCCCUUAGGUUCGGAAUAACUCCCCGAAAGGGGUGCUAAUACCGGAUAAUGUCUUCGGACCAAAGAUUUAUCGCCUUUGGAUGGGCCCGCGUUGGAUUAGCUAGUUGGUAGGGUAAAAGCCUACCAAGGCGACGAUCCAUAGCUGGUCUGAGAGGAUGAUCAGCCACACUGGGACUGAGACGCGGCCCAGACUCCUACGGGAGGCAGCAGUGGGGAAUAUUGGACAAUGGGCGAAAGCCUGAUCCAGCAAUGCCGCGUGAGUGAUGAAGGCCUUAGGGUUGUAAAGCUCUUUUACCCGGGAUGAUAAUGACAGUACCGGGAGAAUAAGCGCCGGCUAACUCCGUG
rnacentral:rRNA from 1 species